AUCGUAGGUGUGCUGUUCAGAGGUGGCUGGAUGUAGGUGUGUGGUCCUGAGGUUAAGGAUGUGGGAUUAUUAAAUCAGCUCACUGAUUUAUGUGGCAUAGCUCUAGGUGUGGACAAUGGGAAGACCGAGCUGGAUUGUGGAUGACGGCACUCAAACAGUGCGUAGUAUAGACAGGCAGGAGGAAGGCAGGCCAGGUGAUGCUUCUGUCCUACUUCUCAGCUCUGUUGCUUUCUGCUUCCACCAUGUACUGCUUCUCCCCUGCAGCCCUCCUCUGCCAAGUCACCCUGCCUGGAGCCAGCCAACCAUAAACGGAAACCGCUGCAAACUGUGAGCUAAAUAAACCUUUCCUCCUUUAAUUUUGGGUGGUGGGUAUUUUGUCUCAGCAAUGAAGAAAGUAACCAUGACAUUUGCUUGCUGAUUUCUUCAGCAUAUUAUGUGACAAGUAAACACACAAUUUUUGUUUUACUUCUUAUUUAUUAGUGCAUGUUUGAAGUACAUAAUGUUUUAUUCCUUGUGUGUAUUAGUAUUUGUACAUAACACACCUGCAUUUCAUCUUUCAUCCCCCUUUCCUGCUCUCUCUUCAUCUCUUGAUCCCUUUCCAUUUUGAGAAAGAUAUAGCUCCCUAUUUCCUAUUAAUUUUUGUUUUUAUUUUUAUCUACAACUUGGAUUUCUCACGUAAGACAAAUCAUGUGAUGUUUAAGUUUGGGUGUCUUAUUUAUUUCACUUAAUAUUAUGUUCUCAAGUGUAUCCAUUUUUCUAUAAAUGACUUAUUUAUCAUAAUCCAGAGUAGUUAUUUAUUUUUACUUUUUCCAUGGCCCAUUUUUCUGGGUUUUUCAGAGAACUUGUAGGAAAGCCAACAGCGGUCCCAAUGACUAAGAUUACCUGGCUCCUCCAGGACGUGGGCCUCGAAGAAGGCAACACGCUCAGGACAUUGCCCAGAGCCAGUGCCUGUUGGUGAAUUCAUACACCAGAAUGUUACACAUGGGCCAUAGAAGUAGGUGUUUUGCUUUGUUUGAAUAACUUGGCAAAAAUUAAUGAUAUCUGCUGGUACCGUCAGAAGGGCAGAGAUGAACAUAUAUGAAGGAGACAAGGGAGCAGAAUUUUGUAACAUCAAGUUUCAGGCAAAUACAAAAACUUUAUUUUGUUUUUAUCUUAACUUGAACAGGGAAAGGGUCAUGCAAAGUGUUAUUGAUGUUAAUAGGAGACUGUAACAAUGGAGAAUUGACUAAUGAAUAAAAAGCGAAUUUCUGAGACAGGAAUAACAGACAGAAAGGACAGCUGUCAUUUUUCCCCUACGUGGCUAGGAGCAUCUCAGGCAGAGCCCUCCUCCUAGGCCCAGGGCAGCGGUCCAGACCUUGUUAGGGGGCAUGGCUUUGGCUUGCUGAGAUGGUGUGCAACAGGAAUUUGCUGGAAACAGCCUUUGGAACGCAGAGAAAGGCCUUUCUCUGCUGGGAAGCACAGCACCUCUAAACGCUGUCUGACACCCCGGAGAGGGAACCAGGAGACUCUGUAGGCAUCUAGCACUGGUGGAGCCACAUGCAUUGACCCUCAUUUUGUAUUUACACUGUGAAAGUAUUCCAGGUAGAGCUCAGUGACUUCUAAAUCUCAGUUUCUUCCUUGUUAAAUAAUCAAGCUACUUUUUGCCAGGUAAAUUUGAGUCUGUGGGGAAAUGGCAAAAAUCAUUGCAAACUGUUUUCAUGUGUUCACAUCUAUAAGAGUCUUCCUUUGGCUGGAGAUUUUGUACUCUGUUAAAAUGCAAAUACCCCAUCGAAGAAAUAGCAUUUUAAAGCUGUUAUCAAUCAUUCAUUGCUUAAUGUCAGGAAGGUACUGUCUCCUUUCCAGGCAGUGGUGUUUGAUGUGAUUGUUGAGGGAAGAAGGGAGAUGAGAGGACCCAGGACAGUGAAGGACCCUGGAAAGUUGCUCCCAACCCAAGCAGACAGCGGAGAUGGCAGCUGGCAGCCGGGGUGGCAGCCCAACCCCGCCUCCUUCACGGCUUCUGGAGCCCUGUCCUGAGUUCUUCAAAAACAUCAAAUGCAAAACCCACUUUCUUUGUAGAACAUUUCCCUCCGUUUCUUCUCUUUUCUUACUUGCUUCGGGGAGGUUUAUGGUUUGAAAAAUUAAAGUGUGGAUCUAUUUUCAUUACCAAAGGAUUUGCAAACUGAGCGGGCCCGUCUGAGCGCCCAUUUGCAUUUGCCAUCCCUUAAGCUGAUUUUCAGUGCUGUGCAGCUAUUUUAAAUGUUUUCAAGAGCUUCCUUUUUAACUCUUUUCCUUACUUGUAUUAUGUAUUUCUGCAGUUUAAAAAAAUUCCAUUGCUGAUUCGUGGUUGAAAAUCUCAAUAGCAAUCAGCAACUAUAAUCAAGAGAAGACUAUUCGCUCAGGGAAUAUUGGGCAAUUGGAGUGAAUAUUGAAAGGGCUACUAGGUUAGAUGGGGAGGUGACACCAUAUCUGUGGCCUCAGGGAACGUAAUGACUUUGAGGUUUCUUUAUGACUGGGGUAGUGGUGCAGUUGGUAUUUAUAGAAAUGGGUUAAAGUACAAAAGAAAAACGUGAUGGAAACAACUUCCAUUUUUCAAUAAUACUAGGUCAAACUCUUGUUGGUUACGCAUCUUCUGCACAUUAUGUAGACAAAUUAUCCAUUUUUUAAUAAUGCUAGGUCAAAAAGCUUGUUGGUUACCCAUUUUCUGCAAACUAGGUAGACUAUGAGGUCGUUUACGUGGUGUGACUGCAGAACCACACGCUUCCAGGCCUGUCCAGCCGGUCUCUUCCUGGCACCCCUCACAUUGUGCUUCGACCUGGAGCACUGCCAGCAUUGCUUCUGUGAGGUUUUCCUGGCUCUUCCAAAGUAUGGCUUUUUGGGAUUCCUAUUAUAGCUUGUGCAUAUCAUUUUAAAAUGAUGGUCUCCUUUUAAAAUAUAUUGUCAUUUAAUCUGUUUAUUUAUUGGAAAAUGUAUAUGCAUGAGUAUUUGGGGAACCAGUGGUGGGAUGUUAUGGCUUGUGUCUAGAUGUUCCCCCAAAGCCUCAUGUGGUCACAGGUGGGACUUUUCAAGUAAUGGCUGAAACUAGAGAGUGUGAUUGAUUAAUGGUACAAAGCUAGGAUUAAGGGUACUUGGUUAAGGAUGGGUGAUUACUAAAUCAGUCCAUUGACUGCACUAAUUUUGGUAGCUUAGAUAUAAAAUGCCUGGCAUGGAUAUAAAAGCACAAAAAAAGCUGGUAAGUUUCCUUGUUUUGCAACCUCUGACUGCCAUUAACUGUUUCUCCUCUGUGAUGCCCCUCUGCCAUGCCACUCUGCCUUGGAGCCAGCCAAUUAUGGACUGAAACCUCUGCAAAUGAUGGACUAAAUAAUCCUUUCCUUCUUCAGCUUUGGGUGUCAGAUAUUUGGUCCUAGCACCCGGAAAAAUAAUCAAGACAGGUUAUCUUUAUAGCUUGUAUAAAAUGGUGGUCUUCUUUUAAAACAUGUAAUUUAAUCUGCUUACAUGUCUAGCUUCCCACUGGCUUAAAAAAUUGUUGCCUACAAGUAGUACGUCUUUAUUAUCUUUGAGUCCUACUUUAAGCUUUGUUGAAUUAACUAGAGUAAUAAUGGGUACAAAUUACAGACAGAUUUGCAGGAUUCUAAGUAGCCAAAACUGUUUAUGCUUUUUGAGUUGACUCUUAGGAAGUUAGUGGUGAGCACUGGGGUUUGAUGGUGAAGAAUUCCUCCAAGUAGGGAUAAUUAUGCAUGUCUAAUCCUAGACCCUUUGUUAGCUCUAGUCUGUGUAUUUGUGGAAAAACAAUAAUUAUGAUUGACUCUCUGUAUUUUUGUGUGUGUAUACAUUCAUUUCCAUAAGUUCAUCUUUUCAUACCUCUUUUUGAUCUUUUAAUAGUAAUAGGAGUUUUACUUAUAUAAACUUGUGCUUGAGAACCUAACCUAUAAGACAGAGGAAAAGCAGAGAACCUAUGGCCAAAAUAGAGGCAGAGAAUGUGAAGUUUUUGAAACUGGUUCCUUGUCAUCACUGGGUGUGGUAGAUCCUGAGUCUCCAAGGAACCCAGUUUGAAAAGCACUGAUUUCGACAGAGUGAACACAUGAGAAUAAAUCUUUUCCAAAUACAUCAUACAGAAAUGGGUUAUAUAUGUACAAGGUUUUCAUAUGACUCAGAGCUCUGAACCUCCAAAUCAUUUUUACAGCUUAAAAAUUGGUAUUGAAAUAAUCACUCAGGUUUAAUUUUAGGAAACUUCGGUCAAUCAGUAUGUAUGACUUUUAAGUUUAAUCCUUCCUUUGGGAAUCACAGAAGCUCCUUCCACUCCAACGCUCUUUGAUUUUCUGAUUGUGAAGGGCAAGGUUAGGAAGAAAUAAACAAGGUGACUAGGUUCCAAGGGCUAGCUUUCUUGGCACAAAUGAAUAAUUGGAAAGCCAGCAUAAUCAAAGUAAUUUCAUCCAUCAUGUACAGAAAGGGAAAUAGAAUUCAGGUUAUUAAGGUUGCAUGAAACUGCUUUUUGAAUGUAUGUACAUAUUUCUUCCUAGGGGCUAGAUAACAUUUCCUAUUUUUAUUUCUAAAAGGAGUUAUGGAAAAAAGACAACUGAAAAUAUAACAAGCACUGUGGCCUCAAAGAAAAACUAGAAUAAUUCAUUAAAGAAAAGAAAAGGGUUUUAGGUUCCCAUUUUAAAAGAACAGCUUGCAAACCAGGACAUUUGCUCUCAGCCCCUGAAGUACACCAGGGCCACGCGCCUAUGAAGUCCUCAUGGCUGCUGCUGACAGCAGGCUCAGCCCAUCAGAUCCUCGGUCUGGAUGAAGGAGUCAGGUAAUUUAAUUUGGAGUUUCACAGUUGCCUACGUGUAUGACCUUUUGGAGUUUGAGGAAAACAAGAUGCAGAAGUGGAGGAAAAGUGAACCAAAGAAGGCCAGCUCCACCACACGGAAGAGCCUGAGACUGCUAACUGGGAGCAAGAAAGGGGACCCACAGAAAAGAAGAUUGGAGCCAGGAGAGAAAGCGCGUUCAGGAGAGCUCUGAUGCCCGGGGCUACUGGGCUGGCUAGAUUUUGAUUUCCUUGAAGACAGAGCCAUGCUCUAGUGUGGUGAAGUAUCCAUCGCCUGCUGCUCCUUGCGCAUUGCCCUGUGGACAGAGAGUUCUUGCUGGCUCACCAGUUCACUCCUCGUGCCAAAUGCCCAGGGAGAUCUAACGCAGCAUCUACACCAGGCAAGCAAAGGACUUAAGCCAUUCUCGUCUGCUAGAGAGCAGUGUGCACUGUGGAGUCACCACUGUAUCCUGUCUGUCCUCCACUUUGUUCCAGAUGAGACAGGAGGGUAGGAAAAGCUUUGCUUUUAGGACAGGCAGGAGACAUGUAUGCAGUCAUCUUCUUCCAGCUUGGAAGUCAGCAUGUGAAACCAAGGCGGAUAACUUCUGCUUCAUGUCUCAGAACUUCACAAGCAACAGCCACUCAACAUAAAGCAAAGCAAAGCAAAAUAAAACCCAACCUCAGGAUCUAAGAACUCAGAUUACUGUUAUUUAACUAUUGCUAUUCAUAGCAUUUGCAUUGUCCCCUGGGCUGAAAUAAAUACUAGACAUCUUAAUUACAUAUAA